CCCUCCACGCACAAACAGUCACGCACAACACAGCCGGUUACUUCGUUUCUACUUCUCUUUUUUUUGUUUUUAUUUGCAUGUCAUUAAACAUUUUAAAGUUCACCUCUUCCUUCACUGUCGCCACGUGUGUGCUUCGUCAUUCUGCGUCUGUGUGCUCUGUACUCGUGUGUUCCUUUUUCUCGUUUCCUUCCACCCAAUCCACCUCGCUCCUCUACGAACCAACACACGCAAAACUCAACAGCAGCAAAAAAGAAAAGGAAGCAAGAAACAAAACGGUUGGGUCCAUCAGUGCCGCUUCCCUUCCUUUGCUCGUCGCUGUCUUCCUCUCCGGCUCGCAACCGCAUAUUGAUCGACUAGUUUUCUUUUUUUGUGUGUGCGCGCGCUGAUCGCGUACUCGACUUGCAAUCACCCAUUCCUUGCUCGCCCCGCCCGGGGUGCACAGGCUAUCCACUUCUUUCCCCUUCUACCCGCAUUCACCGUCAUCCCAUCCACAUCUCCUCCCCCUCUCUUCCCACCUACCCAUUCACCAAACCCUUUGCCCAUCUCUCUGUUUCCGUCUCCCUUACCUCCUUUUAUUUUGUUCUUUGCCUAUUUCCCCUCCCCUUCCUCCUCCUGCAGCAAAUUCACGCGUUUGACACGCGUCUCCUCCGCGGCUGUUCAUCAAAGACCCCCCUCCUCCCCCACCCCUUCGAAAAAAAAAAAGAAUCUGCGGCGGCGCUCUUUGUUUCGACUCAUAAGGUCUCACUACUCGUUGACGUUGCGUGUGGGCGUGUGUGUGCAUGUUGAGCGUCUCUCUUUUCGCCUUUGAAAGUUGAAGCUCAUCAUUAUCGUCAACGCUUCCUCUUUCUCUUCGUGUGCGUGCGUGUCAGUGCGUCUGUGUUCUUCCAUCAGUGAUUUCUUUCCUUUCCCUCUCUUCCCCCCUUUCCUCCCUUCCACACAUCUCACACUUGUCGCUUUCUGGUACUCGUCCCUUUUCCCUGUGUUUUUCUGUGGUGCUCUCUUCUUCCUCUCUUUGUUUUCUGUCUACCUGUGUGUUCUCGUGUUUUUUUUUCGUCUGCCGCCCUCCCGUUUUCACUUUUGGGAAGUUUUUAUGUGGUUGGCGUUCUUCUUUUAGCGCUCUUUUUCCUUCCUGGUCUUUCCUCCUUUUUUUUUCGUUUCCUUGCCCUUUCUUGUGCUUCGACGUGUGUGUGUGUGUUUUGGUCUUCUCAUCCUCGUCUUCUUCGCUCAUUUUUUUGUGUGUAAUUCCUCUCUCUUCUAUUUUUCCAUUCUCUCUGACCGCUCAAGGGGGCUUUCUGUUUUCUUUCCCCGUCGUAACUCCCCUACGCCAUUAUCAGCACCGUCCUACACCUCUCCCCAUCCCUCAUCAUCAUCUUGCUCUCUGUCUCCCACACAAGCCCUCUCCAUCACUCCCUGAACUCUCUCUGACGCUCCAUCGCACACCCACCCACCCCACUUCAUAACCGGUCAGACUUUCACCAUCAGCUACGCCUUCUGCAUCAGUCUCUCUUUUUCUUUUCACCCCCUUUACUUGCUAGGCUUCUCUCACAUUUGCAGCCCUUGUGCGUUUUCUAUUCUCUCUUUCACGUCACAGCUACGCUCUGACGACUGCCUGCCUGUGAGCGCGCGUCCUGUGCGCGUGUUUGGCUCUGCCCAACCCUGACUCGGUGUCACUGCUUAACUGUGCAUCUCACGUUUGCGCAUAGCUCUCCCUCUCCCUCUCCCACUGCGUGUGAGUGUGUGUGUGUGUGUUAGUACCACAGUUGCAAACGAAGCUCGAGGACGAGGAAGAGAGAGUGUGCUUGCGCUGCUUGCCGUGCCCAUCCCACGGCAUCAAAAAAAAAACCAACCUCUCUCUCUAUAUGUACCUAUUUUUAUAUAAAUAUAUAUAAAUAUCAAAAAGGAAAGGAGGUAAGGCAGCGAGUGAGUCGGCCUACGAGAUCCCAACAGGAGACACGCUGAUUUCAUGAAACAAGGGAAAGAAGCGAACAGUAGGAUUCCUUUUCGAGAACAUCAAAAGAGAAAGAACAACAAAAAAGGGAGUGAACCACGAAAAAAAAACAAAAACAAACGCACCUUUGCCUUGGAGGAACACACAAGCACUCCACAUACACGCUUACUAAAGCCAUACACAGAGCCCCCUCCCCCACCGACUUGCUCGUAGCUCUUUCUAGUUAUUCUACACGCGUAACGGUGGUAGCGGUGUAUCCACUAGCUACACCACACCUCCAGCAGCUCUUCACUCUUUCUAUCCCGCUUCUCCGAAAUCCUUUAUUCGUUUUCACCUUACCUUUCGGCGUCUCUCUUUAGCCAGAAAGUUUGUAAGCGUGCGUACGUGGGUUUGCUUUUCUUUCUCCUCUCCUUCGUGCUGCAUCCUGACACUUUCGCUUCCUCCCUCUCCGUGUGUGUCUGUGUGCCGGUGUUUUCUUGUUUUUCCCCUCCCUCGCUAUCUAUUUCUGUCUCUCUCUGUGUUUGUGUGUUCGUUCUCCUGUGUGUGCGCGUUUUUCCCCCUAAACUCUUUUCCCCUCCUUUCGCUCUUUACUUUUAUUUUUACCUCUCCCUCUUCUCAGGUCGCAUAUCUUUAAGAGGGUGUGCACACGUGCGCGUGCGUUUUUUUUUCUUGCCCAUCUCUCAUCAUCGCCUUUACGUUUCUCUCAUCUUUUUCUUUUCGUUGCUUCUCCUGUACCUUUCUUCCCUUGUUUUUCCGUUUCGAAUUUAAAUCACCUUCUCACGACGACUGAAUACCGCGUGCAAUCGGUUCAUUGUACGCUACCUCCUCCCCUCUUUUACUCUCUUCCUCCGGCUCCAGAUACACACCCAUACACCUAUCUAUAUCUCGUUCCUUUUCGUUGUUCUGCUUGGUUGCCACACGCCCUCACUCGAAGCAACAAGCACGCUGCAGCCCCCCUCCCCUCUCCUCCCAAACCUCUUAUCCCAACCUUGCUCCCCCAUCUCAUUUCUGCACUCACCUCAACGCAAGGCGUAAAAAGAAAGGAGGUACUCUUACCAUCACCUACGCAAACCCUCCCCCUCCACUAAAACAUCCUAUCUCACUCGCUCUCUCUCUAACUCUCUUACAUUCGCUUGCGCACACUCACACUCGGCGCCUGUGCGUUUUCCCUCUCUUUCCCCUCUUCUCCGAUUCCAGUUGUUCUUUCCAGAGCACGUGUGCCGUUGUGUGACUGUUUUGCCCGACAGAGAACGCGAACUCACCAGCACGCGCAGGCUCGCUUUUCCCCAUCUUUCCCUCUUCUCUCUCUCUUUGAUUUUGGUAGCGCUGCGAGACAAAGGCCGUCCAUUCCCUCCCCCUCCCUCUUCUCAACCCGACACACACGGCGACGACGACGACGAGAGCAGCAACAAUAAGAACAAAGAGAAGGCUCAUUCUCUGCGCUUUUUUUUCGGUUUUCUCUGUUUUUUUUUUGAUUACUUCCAUUCUUCUCACUCGCCACACUGGAUUUCCUCCCUUCUUUUUUCUUUGUUUUAUUCGCGUGUGCGUGUGUGUGUUCUUGCGCCUUUCGGUUUGGUUUUGCUUCUCUUACACGCCUUCGUUUUUUUAAAUUUAUUUAAACGUUUCCCCCCUGCCCCCCUUCUCCCCCUGUGCGUUCUCGUCACUGGUCUUGCUGCCCCCGUCGUGCGCAAAGAAGUCGGUCGUUUUCAGUUUCUCUUUCACAGAAGAGAAGAGGGCAAACGAACCGGUACUCGAACAAAAAAGCAAGGGAGGGAAAGAGGAAGACACAACCAGAACGAAACACACACACACACACACACAGACACACAAGCGCAGAAGUCGAGGGUCGUGAUAGCGAUACGCGCACAAAGCCAACGUCUCGAAACGAAAAAAAAAACAAGCAAACAAAGAAACAACAGCAACCGAACUUAAAACAGCAACGACAAGCAAAAAAAAAAAACAGGAAAGGAUCUGGUUUCCUUGCGUUUUUUUUUGGGCGUGCGUGUGUGUGUUUAUUGUAUCGUUGUUGUUGCUGUCUCACUCACACUUUUUUUGAUUGGCGCACAAUUGAACCUCACCUUUUUUUUUGUUUCUCAUCUUCGAUCAUCUUCUUGGCUUUUUCUUGGGGUGCUCUCCUUCGGCUUGCUCUUUGCGUUGUCGCACGCACACCACAACUUCUGCUUCUUCGGGCCUCAUCGAUAUAAAUAGAGGAAGCCAGAGGAACAAUAGAAAAAAGUGUAUGCGUGUGUGUGUGUGGGGCGCACAGCUUAUUUGUCACCGAUCAUUCUCCUCAUUUCUCAUAACUUCCAUAUCUUCUACUUUGUUGAUUCAAGUCCUUUUUUAUUUUCCCUUUCCUCUCUGCCGCCGCUCUUUGGCGUCCUCACACGAAGGCUCGAGCGACUUGCGUCUCUCUCCCCCUUUUUGUUUAGCUUGAGGUCUUUCUCUCUCUCCUUUUAGCCCGACUCCUCAGUAUCGUUUACGUAUCCGCUUCCUCUCGUCACCGCGCACACUUACAGGCCAAACAGGAGGCGCGCCAACAGGACAGUCUUUGCAAAACAACAACAGCAACACAAAAAUGUACUUUGUUGCAGCCGCUCCGUCGUCGGUGUCGCCGCCAGGGGUCAUCGCGACGUCUGCGCCUUUGCCGUUCGGCACCCCGAUGAAGGACAUGUCGGUAUCGUUCAGCAACAGCAACUCCUUCACCGCCGUUUCUGCGGCUCCGCCAUCGUACGAGGCUGUCGCGCUGGACCCGAAAGGCCCUCGCAGCCAGACAAAUCUCUUUGUGCGCAAGCUGGCCUCGGCUGUGACGGAGGAUGACAUGCGCAAGCUGUUCGAGCAGUACGGCACGAUUAUGUCCUUCGCGCUCAUGCGAGACAUCCACACUGGCGAGAGCCUUGGCACUGCCUUUGUGCGCUACAGUACCCACGAUGAGGCCCGCGCGGCCAUGGCGGCUCUCGACGGACGUGAGCUCUACGGCCGUCCCAUCUCGAUUCAGUGGGCAAAGCGCGAGCAUGACAGCACCCCGUGUGGCGACGCUCGCCGCAAGAUACGCAAGCUUUUCGUGCGCAACAUCCCUCUCGACGUGACAGCGCGUCAUCUCCGCCAGAUCUUCUCCAAGUUCGGAUCCAUCAGCAACGUUACCCUGCAUAGUGACACGGCCCCCGCAGCCACCCGCGACAACGGCGACAGCUCGCGCCCGGCCAGCCAAAUGCGCAACAUCGCCUUUAUUCUCUUCCAGGACGACGACGUCGCGGAGCAGGCGGUGAGCGCGCUGCACAACACUUGCCCGUUUGACAGCUGCGAGGGGAUCCCGCUCAUGGUGAAGCUGGCUGAGGACAACCGUGACCGCAUCGACCGAAAGCAGCGUUUCUGCGAGAGCAGCGCGACGAACACGACCGCCAAGGCGUUCGCGACGGCCAUGAUGCAGAGCAACCACCUCUCCACUGCCGCCUCCGUCUCGCCGCUGACCGUUCCUCUCUCCACGCCAGCCUCGGCAACGCUCUCGCCCCCGACGCUGUCGAUGGAUGUCAGCCACAACAGCCCCAUCUUCAUUCACGAGGGCCACGCGCCUUCGCUGCCGCCGAGUGGGCAACAGACACUGCCCUUCACUGUUUCAGCGCCGACAUCCACAGCAACUCCCAUGCUGCAAACCACGGUUGAUGCGAAUGGGAACACUGCGUACGUCUACGUCUCACCCUCGCCGAACAACGGUGUUGCGCAGCAAGUGCUACCAGCUUCCGCAGCCCCUGGUCAGUGCGUCAUCGUGUCCAACGGGCUUCAGGGCUUCACGACGGCGAACAGGGUGAUGCCGCAGCCGUCGCAGCCCUUCUACGCGGCUGCUGCGCCUCCAUCCGUGCAGCAAUACUAUCAGACAGUGACGCUGCCGCAGGUCUUUGCGGACGCGCAGGGCCAGCCGCUGCAGCCGCAGCCGAACGUUUUCGUCCCCGGCUACUACUCCUACUCUCCUAGCCCGCAGUCCUCUCAGCAGACGCCACAGCAGGUGCCGAUCUUCGAAGUGCAAGCGGCGCCCAUGACACACCCGCUGCGAACCGGUGCUUCGGUGCCGAAGGCGGCUAGAGAUGUCUUUCAGAACCAGUCGCCGCUACAGCACCAGCUGGCACACGCUCAGCCGCCCUUCUCGGUCUCACCGCAGCUCAGCAGCCCUGGUGGUGUGCGGGAGUCGGUCCCGAUGACGAUCUUCUCUGCGACGGACAGCCCAGUGAACGGGACUGUCAACCCCACCAACACCGUUCCGCCCCAGCUGCAGGCGCCCAUGACGCUCGUGCCUCGCAGCGCUGCAGCGCCGCCGAGCGCCGAUGCCAAAGCGCGAGGACACUCUAGCUUGGGCCCGACAACGGACGGCGCGCACGCUGCUAAACUGAUGUGCGAGGUGCCGAUGCCCUCCAUGGUGCCGUGUAUCGAGGACGAUGACGUGACGUGGGGCAACGUCUCUGCUAAAACGCCGGCUGCAGCUGGUGUUUCAAGAAGCUUGUGAUGGAAGCCAAGAGCUGGAGGUGGGCUGGGCUGGACCGACACACACACACACACACACACACACAGGCAUACGCCCACCCAGACACAGCACAGAAGAGACGGUGCACUGAAGCGCCCCGUUCUGUGUUCAUAUGUGUUUGUGUCUCUUACUCGCUGUAUUUUUUUUUUCGCUCGCUUCGCUUUUCUAUGGCGCCUUGUGUGUUCUUUCUGAGGCUAUCGUUUUCUGUUUCUUUCUGUCGUUGAUUGACUUUGUCCCCCCUUUUUGUUUAAACAUGCUUAGCUCGCAACAGUUUUCGAUGCACGGUGUCUUCUCACUUUCUCUGUGGAGUUGGCUUCAUCUGCGCGUGUUUUGCACUGAACACGACAGUCUGCGUCUGCUCGCGCUGAUGCAGCUUGCUCAUGCUGCUGCACAACAGCCUUUACACUCUUAGGUUGGUGCGCUCUUUUUUUUUUUACGAUUUUCUUGACCUCCCCCUCCCUAAAUCUCUUACCCUUUCCGUGCUCCUUCUCUCUUUCUCUCACCUGUUUAUCAGCCACACUCUUGACAACACCGUCGCUUUUUUUUUUUGCUCUCUUCCCUCACUAUACUUCACUGGCCACAUCUUCCUCUCUCGUGCUCUGGCGCUGUGUGUGACGUUUUGUUGACAGAGCGCGCGAGCGCAGGAGGGAAUAGAAGGAGAUAGUGAAGAACGAGGCGAAGAAAAACGAGUAUAGAUAACGGAAACGGGGUGCAUGGGCGACAGGACGCACAUUGCGGACGGCGGCUGCUGCUUUGGCGAAAUUGCCAGCUUCGUGGCUUCGCUUCUGCUCCCCUUCUACGUCUCUCCCCAUGGAAGGGAUGAGGCCUCCUUUCCUUGUUUUUUUUUUUGCUACCUUUUUGUUGUGUCGUCGCGUCUGUGCGCUUCCUCUUCAUUUUACUGCCCUUGUCUCUGGAGUCUCUUUUCAUCUUAUUUUUGCUUCUUCUUCCGUUUUUUUUCCCCCCGUUCUCGACUGUCUCGCACGGCCUCUCUCUUUCUCUGCCUCGCUUUGCCGUGCCGGCUUUGCUCUUCUCUCUUCGCGUCGAAGGACGAGGACUAUGCACAGUGUCGUGCACUGUGCAGUUCGCUCAGCCUGUCCUUGCCUUGCUUGGCCGCAAGUGUGUUUUAACUGUGGAUUCUCAAUGCGAUUCCAUUUUCGUGUUGCUAACGUGACCGCAUAUGCGUUUGCGCGUUGUUUUUUUUUUCCCCUUUCACUUAUUGAUUCUCUCUUUUUUUUGGUCCCAGCAAAUUCUUCUCGUGUUCUGUCUUCCUAUGUCGCCUCCCUUUUCAUUGUUUCGGUUUUUUUUUUGUUGAGCUCUUUUUUUUCUGUGUGCGUGUAUGCGUGCACACAUGCGUACAACGUCUAUCUCUCUGUGUGCUUGUAUAGCCCCCUUUUUCCAAAGAAGGGAGGGAUGAUUUGUUCGAGCCAACAACAACAAAAUAAGGAAAUAAAACCAAUGCGCUACGCCGAGGGUUCAACAACAACAAGCCGCAAACACGGAAUGCCGAAGUCGAAGCCCCCCCCCCCUGCCCACACUCACUCCCACCAACCCCUUCUCUCUCUCUCUCCAUCUGCUGUACGUUGGCAACUUUGUUUGUUCAGUUUUUUUUUUCGUGUUUUUGCGCUCGUCUUUUGCCUUGGCCUUUGCCUCCUGCCGAUGCUGCUGCUGCUGCUGUUCUUCUUUUCCUUGUGUGCUGUGCUUUGGAUGGCAGUCUGGCGUCCUUCUUCCGCUGCGUUUUACAGCACCCGUAAUUUAUUGUAGCGCUGUCUGAAGCAGCAUUGACGAUGUAUGCCCAUUUUUCCCUGUCCGCUUUACAUGUGCUCCACCCCAUGAUUCGUUGACUAACGCCAGCAACGCCGUCUGCUGCAGCACUCUUCGCACGUUUUCGCCCCUUACUCCAUUCUUUACCUCUACUCCUCUUUGGCCUCUCUCGUUCUCCCCCGUUUCUCCCUCGUACGUGUGGCGGCUGUACGUGGUUUUCUCGUUUUUGCUUUCGUUCUUCUGCGUGUGUGCUCCGAGCAUUUUUUUUCUUGGUUCUUAAGUGCCAGUUCGCCACGUUCAUUACUGGAUUUCUUGUAGCGGCUCUUUCUCAUUCCUUUCUCUAUGUUUCGCUUUCUGUCUCUGUGCGCAUGUUUGUGUUCACGCUGGCAGGGAUUCAGCAGAGAAGUGAACCGGCUUUGCUGGCAAGCGCAGAUGGCGCGUUUGUGUGGAAGGCGCCUUCAUCGUCCCGCCUCACGUUCCCCUUCCACAUACACAGAAAUGUGUAUGCGGGUUAGGUACAGCGAAAAAAAAAGAACGAAAAGAUUUUUAAAAUGGAUUCCUUCAAAAAAGAGGCUGAAGAUAGCGCAGGGCGAGGCCACUAAAAAAACAACAGUGGGACGGGAAGGUGAGUCUUAAAAAGUGCGUAUGUGCGUUCAACAAAUAGGCGGAAGGCGUUCGCCGGCAUGGAGGUGAGGGGCGAUGUGCGACUGAAGCGCACCGCCUCCGAUCACCGCCACACAGGCGUCAACGGAGCAGCAGAGAAGAAGCAAACAACAAAAAGAACCAGCAAAAGAGGAAGGGUCCAUGGAAGCAGGAGACGAAGCGUGUUGGUACUGCAUGCGCAACUGGUGCUGGGAGGAGAUGACAUCUCUGUAGUUUUUCGUUUGGUUCUGUGCCUCGCCCUGCUCCACUCACCUCUUCUCCCUAGGCGCUCUCCCCCUCUUCUACCUCUUCACUUCUCUCUUCUCGAGCAUACCCAUUUUCUUUUUUUCGCUGUUCCAUUGCGCUAUUUCUCUUUCAACAGCCGCUGCUCUUCCAUUCCUGCGCUUUUUGGCACCCCUACCCCGUUUUUCUCUUCCAUCUCACAGCUGCGUCUCCUUCGCUUCUUAUUUACUCUCCUUUCAUCUCUUCGUGCUCGUAAAAUGUGAAUAAAAAAGAAGGUCCCUACGCGUGUAUGUGUAUGUGUAACUGUUUGUCGUUGUCGCAUGCGCGCUGUGGGUCAAAACCGUCUGUUUUCGGGUUUGUUGUUUAUAUAUAUAUAUAUGUUUGAAUGUUCUUGCGUGCACCAGCGUGCGUCUCCACGUCGCUUUUCGAUGCUGUUUUGUGUAAAGCAGCUCAUUCUCUCCUUUCCCUUUUUUCUCGACGGGUGCUUCUUCUUUGUCUUCUGAGCUUCUUCCGACCUUUUCAUCCCUCGUCAUUAGCCGCAGACACAGAUGCUUGCCCGUUCACGCGAUUGAUGUCUCUGUGGUUGCGUGCCUGUUUUUCUUUCUCUCCUUACACAAUCUCUGUUUUUUUUUUUCUUUUUUAUUUCUCCUCUUCGCUCCUUUUUUUUCAAACCGAUGCUGCUGUUUUUUCAAUUCGUCUCAUCGCUUUCCUCUAAAGAGAGAGGGAGAGGGCUACACCCACCCACACGCACACGCACACACAAUACGCAUCCACGCAUGUACACAUUCCAAUCCACACCGCUUCUCUCUCCCGCGUGUAUGCCAUUGCCUACGGAAACGAUAUUUGCGCCUUUUUCUUUCCCUUCUCCGUUCUCCCGGCGCAUACUCGGAGGCGAUGGUGGUGAUACAUGUGUAUGUGCGUACGCGCGCGCCCUUCAUCCUCAGCCAGUAUCUUUCUUUGACACAUACACACACACACACACACACACACAAACCAACGCGGACCGAAAAAAAAAAGUGUGGUGGUGGUGGGGAUGGUGGCUGGAGAAAUCGACGAAUCACGCAAAGCAUAGGAGAACAGCGAAAGUUCAGGGCGAUGGACUACACACCCUGCCGUUGCUGCUGUCUUUUUUAUUUAUGCCCUUCUUCGCUGCUUUGCUCGACGGCUGUGCGCUCUCUCUCUUUUCCCUCUAUGCUUGCGUGGAUGUCUGUGUAUGCCCGUGUGUUUAUGUAUGUGUGUCUGCGUGCGUCUGUUUUUCUUUAUGCUUGUCUUUCGUAUGCGUCUACUUGUGCUUGUGUAGCUUCUGGUAUCACCUAGUAGUAGUACUAGCCCUCUCUCCUUUUUUUUUUCGCUUGACCUCUUGCUCUGUGUGCGAAGAGCUCCUAACAACCGCGAUGACGUUUUCACCGCUGCUGCCUCUAGACAUGCACACUGCCCCCCACCCUCUGCCGUUCGCUUUCUCUCUUUAUCUUUUUUUUUUCCCGUCGAUCUCUUCUAUGCUUCUUUUUUUUUCUUGAGGGUUUGGCCGUAGUACUUUUCUGUUGUCUGAGACGUGGCCGCAGGCGCCUUCGUCCUCUGAGCCUGGGUGUUUGCAUGACCGCCGAACGGUCGAUUCCAGCUUUCUUCGCCCUCCUAUGUCGUUUAGUGUGGUUGCAUAUACCCCAUAUCCCCCGCCCGUAUUGUCGAUCGCUCUCUGAUUUUCAUUCACCCUUUUGCCUUUUUUUUUAGCUGUCUCUCUCUCUUUCUGUUUUCUUUUCUAUCUCGUGGAUGCCACUUCUCCUUCGUUGUGCUGUGCACGUACGCGCUUUUUCUUCUUUUUUUUUCGUCGUUCCUCUUCACUUGUGUGUUUGACGUCUUCCUUUCCGGCCAUCGUAUUCCAUCGCGUGUUCUCCUUGCUUUAUGUAUUUUCGGUUUCUUUGAAUGACCUCGCUUCCUUUGCUUCUCUUUAUCUUUGGUUGUGCUUUUUUUUUCUGUUGUGCUUUCUCUAUCGAGUUUGCUGCGCAUGCUCCCUUGCCCUCGUUUUUGUCCUCCUUCCUUCCCUUUACCUGCUCUGUGUGCUUGAUGGCUGUCGACGCCGCUUCCCUUGUCUCCUUUUCAUUUGAAUUUCUGUUUGUUGCUCACCUUUUCCACGCGCUUGCUCUCUCUUUCCUUUUCGUUAGUUUUGCUUUCUCUUGCUCCUUCAGGCGCUUCUUGUUUUUUUUUUUCCCGUCGCUCUCUUCGUCCUCCCUAGUACCUUGAUGAUGCUUUGGAACUCCCAUUCUCUGUACGCAGGAAUGCUCCAGCAAGAAAGCCUUGGGUGCAUAUGCGAUCGAGUCUGUAGGUAUGUAUGUGUGCAUGUGCGUGCGCAUGUGUGCAUCUUAUCUGUCUGCCCGUUUUUCUUCCUCUUUGAGGGACUUCAUUUGAUGCGGGUCACGAACGACCUCUUUCUCUUCGUCUCAUCCCCAACGCGGCCCCCUCACACGCCCCUAUAUGCGCUCCGCUUACGUUUCUUGUGCCUCGGAAUCCGUCCCCGCGUUCGACCUCGUCGCACAAAGUGCAGAAGGUGUAGAGAGCAGAAAAAACGGUAUGUCAAAGAUAGGCAGGCGAGGCGGUCUCCCCCCCCCCCCCCGCCCCCGAAAAAAAAAAGAAGGUGUGGCGGUGGUGGCGUCCAAGAGAGCGAUGGAAAGGGUGCUGAGUGCCUGUGUGUGCGUGCUCUCGCAAACAUCGCAUCACCCUUACACAUCGCUCACACGGGCACAUACGCAUGAGCAAGCGUCUCCGUGGAGGCGAACGAAAUGGCCUCCGAAGAUCAAACAAGUGGAGAAAUAAGCGUGCACAGGUUUGACAAGUUUGUGUGCCCGCUGGCGGGCUUUCUCUGUGCAUGCGCGUGUGUCUGUGUGCGCGUUUUGCUUUGUUGAAGUCGGGUGCUCGCACUUCUGUAGAGUCUGCAGAACGAGUUGAAAGAAGAGGAAGCGGCGGAAUGACGCAAAAAGAUGCCGUUGCCAUCAUCCGCGAGCGUCGCUGAUGUGCGCGUGUGUGUGCUGCUCUAUCUCAAGAUCACUUUUUUUUUGCUGUUCUCGCUUCCAGUCAGUGAUUCCCGUUCUUCAUUUUCUUGGAGGAGCCGCUGCACUGUUUCUCUCUGUUUUCUGCUUCUGCAGAGGUGCCUCACUCCCUUUCCCCGCCCUCCUUCUCGCCCUUGUCGCUCUUUGCCCUUGCCCCUCUGUCCCCCACGCAGAUCCUUCGCUCUGACCCUCUUGCUCGAUCCGUAUUCUCCUCUUCUUCUCGCCAUUGUCUUUUAUUCUCGUGCUUUCCGACGGCAGCGGAUACGAGCAUCGCUCUCCCUCUUUUCCUCCUACACGCCCACACUUCUAUUUCCCUUCCCCCUUUCUCUGUCUCCAUUUCUCUCUGCGCCCUUUUAUUAUAUCUUUUCCUUGUUUUGCCCCGGGCUGUGUCUGCGCGUGUUUCUCUCUCUGUGUGCUGCAUGUGUGCUGCAUGCUCUUGUGUUUCCUCGUUGCAUCUUCCCCUCUCCCCCUUUCUCAGGAUUGUCUCUCCCUUGUCAUCUUAGUGAUUUCCUUCGGUUCUUUGCUCUUUCUUUACGUUGCUUGCCCCUGUUCCUCGACCCCCCCCUCGCCCUUUUUUUUCUGUCUCCUCCUAUUUGCCGUCGCCCCCUCCCCCUCCAUUUCCCUGUCCUCUUCGACUCACGCGUCUCGUGGAAGAAAGAAAGGGGCCACUUCCCCUCUCUUUUUUACUGUCUUGUCUUCGCGGCGUCCGUCUCUUUACUCGAUUCUAUUUUUGUGUUGUCCAGGCCACUCUUUCUCUGUCCUUCUCUUUGCUUGUUUUCGUCUCCCUCUUCUCCAUUUGGGCGUGAGUGGUGCGGAGGGACGGGGCUAUUCUACCUUUCUCUGCGAUCUAGUAGAGCAUACCUUUCCUCUGCUUUUCCCCUUUCCCAGUUCCGGCUUCCUUCGCCUCCCCCAAUCCACCCCCUUGUCUUCUCUUUUUCUCCGAUUGGUGCAGUCGCCACACACACACACACACACAUCCGCACACACGAACUACAAGGUAAUAAUCAUAAUAAAAACGACUCCUGUUGAUUUUUUUGUUUUCCUAGUGCUGUGCUUCUGCGUCGCGUCUUUGCUGCUGCCGGGCGUGUUGACUUCGGAGCACAGGCUAGUCUACCUCGCGCGCCUCACCUUUCCACGUUUCCCCUGCGCAUUCUGUCGCCGCUCCCCUCCGGCUUCACUUCCAUCAAAACACCACUCCAGCACCAUUUUCUUCGCAUGCGUGUGUGUGUGCGUGCUUCUUGCGCGCAUGUUGCUUUCCCUCCCCUCUCGUUCUUUCGCCGCGUUUCUCAACACCUCUGCACCCUCCUCCUUGUGUGAGGUCACACACCCUUUCUUUGUGCUGUGCUUAACCUCAACGCUCGUCUGUCUCUCUUGCGCUCUACAUGUGCGCGCGGGUUGCACUAGUGUGACACGCACCGUCUCUCAUCCUCGAUCAACCUUUCUUUCUUUCUUUCUCCUUCCCCCCUCUGCCUCUCACUCUCAUGAAG
rnacentral:misc_RNA from 1 species